AGAGUUUGAUCCUGGCUCAGGACGAACGCUGGCGGCGUGCCUAAUACAUGCAAGUCGAGCGGUUCCUUCGGGGAUAGCGGCGGACGGGUGAGUAACACGUAGGCAACCUGCCUGCAAGACCGGGAUAACUAUCGGAAACGAUAGCUAAGACCGGAUAGCUGGUACUCUCGCAUGAGAGGAUCAUGAAACACGGGGCAACC
rnacentral:rRNA from 1 species